rnacentral:rRNA from 1 species
GGUGUCGCGGAAUGUGGUGUUUAGGAGGACCGUGCGCGUCUGUCCGGUAUCGUCCAAGUCUCCAUGAAUGGGGCCAGCAACCCAGAGAGGGUGUCAGGCCCGUAGGACUGAGCCGCGACGGCGUAUUGGGUCUCUCCUUAGAGUCGGGUUGCUUGAGAGUGCAGCCCUAAGUGGGAGGUAAACUCCUUCUAAGGCUAAAUACGGCCACGAGACCGAUAGCGAACAAGUACCGCGAGGGAAAGUUGAAAAGAACUUUGAAGAGAGAGUUCAAUAGUGCGUGAAACCGUUCAGGGGGUUAAACGGGUGGGCCCUCGAAGGUCGAACGCUCCCUACUCGCGUCUCCGCUCGUCGGUCCGUGCCGCUUUUCCGAUCUCGCUACGGGACGGAGCGGUGCGGUAACUGGUGCGAGCGGGGGCGUUUAGUUAGGGGGCCAGUAGGACUCCGCAACCGUCUGGAGCUAGUCGUCAGAAGGGCUCUGGUAGAAAGCCUCCUCGUGGGGUGGACUCCGGGGUUCCGGGCGAUCUCUCCGGCCGUGAACCGGCAUUCCACUCGGCUGGCGUUCGUGACGAGCUUCCCCUUCACGGGGGGAGUUGUCGGUUGCGGGCGUCACCGGGGGACGCUAGCGGAGAGUAGAGUCGGGUCCCACCCGACCCGUCUUGAAACACGGACCAAGGAGUCUAACAUGUGCGCGAGUCGUCGG